rnacentral:rRNA from 1 species
GACGAACGCUGGCGGCGUGCUUAACACAUGCAAGUCGAACGGAAAGGCCCUGCUUGCAGGGUACUCGAGUGGCGAACGGGUGAGUAACACGUGGGUGAUCUGCCCUGCACUUCGGGAUAAGCCUGGGAAACUGGGUCUAAUAUCGGAUAGGAGCCAUUCUUAGUGUGAUGGUUGGAAAGUUUUUUCGGUGUAGGAUGAGCUCGCGGCCUAUCAGCUUGUUGGUGGGGUAAUGGCCUACCAAGGCGGCGACGGGUAGCCGGCCUGAGAGGGUGGACGGCCACAUUGGGACUGAGAUACGGCCCAGACUCCUACGGGAGGCAGCAGUGGGGAAUAUUGCACAAUGGGCGCAAGCCUGAUGCAGCGACGCCGCGUGGGGGAUGACGGCCUUCGGGUUGUAAACUCCUUUCGCUAGGGACGAAGCUUUUUGUGACGGUACCUAGAUAAGAAGCACCGGCUAACUACGUG